rnacentral:misc_RNA from 1 species
UUUCCGUAGGUGAACCUGCGGAAGGAUCAUUAUUGAAUGAAACACUUCUGGCUUUAUGCUGUUGUGCUGGCCCUUUGGGCAAUGUGCACACGGCUCUGGUCACUUGUUUCUUCUGUUCCACCUGUGCACUGCCUGUAGACACGCUGUGUCUAUGAUAUUUGUUAACACACAACAAUGUUAGUUGGCAUGUUAUAUAUAAUAAUAAAAUAUACAACUUUCAACAACGGAUCUCUUGGCUCUCGCAUCGAGAAGAACGCAGC